UGGAUAACCUGCCCCGAAGACCGGGACAACCCGGGGAAACCCGAGCUAAUACCGGAUGUGGUCACCGUCCAUAAGGACGAUGAGCAAAGGAAGCUUCGGCCUCCGCUUCGGGAGGGUCCGCGGCCCAUUAGCUUGUUGGUGAGGUAACC
rnacentral:rRNA from 1 species